UACGUAGGGGGCAAGCGUUGUCCGGAAUCAUUGGGCGUAAAGCGCGUGUAGGCGGAUGAGCAAGUCUGCUGUGAAAGCUCCUGGCUUAACCGGGAGUGGUCGGUGGAAACUGCUCGUCUGGAGGACGGUAGAGGUAGGUAGAAUUCCCGGUGUAGUGGUGAAAUGCGUAGAGAUCGGGAGGAAUACCUGUGGCGAAGGCGGCCUACUGGGCCGGACCUGACGCUGAGACGCGAAGGCGUGGGGAGCGAACGGG
rnacentral:rRNA from 1 species